GACUGGGAAUGGUUCCAAUAUGGUGGUUUGCCCCGUCUAUCUAGCAAUGAACUUGCUAAGGUGAAACGUGUCGGCGUUCGUGAUCAAGUGUUUGAAAGUACUAAUCUCAUACCUAGUAUGGGAUAGGGAAACCUAAUACCUGAUUGAACUGGGGCGUGUCAUACCCCCUGCUGUCCUUGGAACGUCAUUCCCAUGGUGCAUCAUGUGGGUGCAAGUACGGUCACAGUACGGCAGAGGCCGGGACCAUGGAGCAUUG
rnacentral:lncRNA from 1 species